UACGGGGGGGGCGAGCGUUGUUCGGAAUUACUGGGCGUAAAGGGUUUGUAGGUGGUUUGCUAAGUCAGACGUGAAAUCCCUCAGCUUAACUGGGGAACUGCGUCUGAGACUGGCGGACUUGAGGGCAGGAGAGGAACGCGGAAUUCCAGGUGUAGCGGUGAAAUGCGUAGAUAUCUGGAGGAACACCGGUGGCGAAGGCGGCGUUCUGGACUGUUUCUGACACUGAUAAACGAAAGCCAGGGGAGCAAACGGG
rnacentral:rRNA from 1 species